UUGACAUCCAGCGAACUUUCCAGAGAUGGAUUGGUGCCUUCGGAACGCUGAGACAGGUGCUGCAUGGCUGUCGUCAGCUCGUGUUGUGAAAUGUUGGGUUAAGUCCCGCAACGAGCGCAACCCUUUAUCCUUUGUUGCCAGCGAUUCGGUCGGGAACUCAAAGGAGACUGCCGGUGAUAAACCGGAGGAAGGUGGGGAUGACGUCAAGUCAUCAUGGCCCUUACGAGUAGGGCUACACACGUGCUACAAUGGCGCAUACAAAGAGAAGCGACCUCGCGAGAGCAAGCGGACCUCAUAAAGUGCGUCGUAGUCCGGAUCGGAGUCUGCAACUCGACUCCGUGAAGUCGGAAUCGCUAGUAAUCGUGGAUCAGAAUGCCACGGUGAAUACGUUCCCGGGCCUUGUACACACCGCCCGUCACACCAUGGGAGUGGGUUGCAAAAGAAGUAGGUAGCUUAACCUUCGGGAGGGCGCUUACCACUUUGUGAUUCAUGACUGGGGUGAAGUCGUAACAAGGUAAGCGUAGCGAG
rnacentral:rRNA from 1 species